rnacentral:piRNA from 1 species
GGCAUCAUGGCGCUGUAGAUAGAG